AGGGGAGACCUAAUUCAGGUAGGAGACGAAAAAAAAGUAGUCCCAACCAAGAAUCAAUCCCAAAAGGUCGGAGCGAGGCGAAAUUGGCUUUCAAACUAGGUUCUGGGUUCACACAAGACCUGAAUCAGGAACAAGGGCUAUUAGCUCAGGUGGUUAGAGCGCACCCCUGAUAAGGGUGAGGUCCCUGGUUCGAGUCCAGGAUGGCCCACCUGCACAGGUGGCAAAAACAAGAGAAGCGAGGAAUCAGCACCUUAUCUUAUCUAUAUAUAUAUAGGAGAGAAUGCUGGCUCUGAGUAAAGAGUCCAGAGGAACCUUGAAAACUGCAUAGAGCUAGGUGAAAAAGCCAAAAAAGAAGACCGCAA
rnacentral:tRNA from 1 species